rnacentral:rRNA from 1 species
GAGACAGCAGCAGCCACGGGAAUACGUAGGGUGCAAGCGUUAAUCGGAAUUACUGGGCGUAAAGCGUGCGCAGGCGGUUAUAUAAGACAGAUGUGAAAUCCCCGGGCUCAACCUGGGAACUGCAUUUGUGACUGUAUAGCUAGAGUACGGCAGAGGGGGAUGGAAUUCCGCGUGUAGCAGUGAAAUGCGUAGAUAUGCGGAGGAACACCGAUGGCGAAGGCAAUCCCCUGGGCCUGUACUGACGCUCAUGCACGAAAGCGUGGGGAGCAAACAGGAUUAGAUACCCCGGUAGUCCCUGUCUCUUAUAC